GGAGAUGGCCUUCAAAUCAGAUUAGUUUCUUCUUUGUUCUUUUUCCUAGGUAAUAAUAUUUUUUUGUUAGAUACCAUUGUUUCUCAUUUUCCCCUUAUUUUGUUCCUCUUAUUUUGUUUGAGUCCCUUCUUGAGUCUGUUUGGUCAGAGCAAGAGAAAUGACUUCAAAAUUUACUACCAGCUUUCCAAUUGCACAAAACAAUUUUGGCUGGCACAUCAAAAUGGCAUAAGUCAGGAAAGAACAAUAUGCGUACUGAGUUGGCAACAAUCAACGUGUUUUGGGAUUCGUGUGAAAUGCAAGGGAUCGGUAAAUAUCAAUUAAUGAGAAAAUGCAAAAAAUAGAGGAUAUUGGGAUCGAAUAUAGCAGAGGUGUUUUCUAUGGUAAGAGUUGAAAGAAAAUGGAUAGUCGACAACCUUCAAGGUCGUCCAAGUUGAAAUAAAG
rnacentral:lncRNA from 1 species